UCCUCCCGGGGGUUCCAGCUGGGUACUUGUACUACUCCGUCUCCCCAUCUGGAGCCCUCAGUAGGCAUCUGGGUCACCAUCCGCCGCCCCCCACAUGGUCCCCAGAGGAGGAGACCAUUUCGUGGUCGUCUGGCGGCGAUUCGCACUGGGAGCGGGUAAUGGACCUUGCGGUCCGACUACAGGCCACCUAUGCUCCCCACGCUCGGCCGCAGCGCACUAUGUCCAGCGCUGGGCCGCAGCGACGUCCCGACCCCGCUCAGCCGCAGCGCAAGAUGUCCAGCGCUGGGCCGCAGCGACGUCCCGACCCCGCUCGGUCGCAGCGCAAGAUGUCCCGCGCUGGGCCGCAGCAGAUUCCCGUCCCGGCCUCCCGACCCAAGCCCAUGACCCCCGAGCCAGUGCCACGAUCCAUGCCCCCGACCCCCGAGCCAGUGCCACGAUCCAUGCCCCCGACCCCCGAGCCACCGACGGCGACAACCGCGGAGGUGUUCCGUGUCCCCGAGCCGCCGACGGCGACAACCGCGGAGGUGUUCCGUGUCCCCGAGCUGCCGCCGCCGACAACCGCGGAGGUGUUCCGUGUCCCCGAGCUGCCGCCGCCGACAACCGCGGAGGUGUUCCGUGUCCCCGAGCUGCCGCCGCCGACAACCGCGGAGGUGUUCCGUGUCCCCGAGCUGCCGCCGCCGACCCCGGAGGUUUCCCGUGUCCCCGAGCCUGCCAUUCUAGAGACGUUCCGUGCCCUGCAGUCGCCGCUCCGGAGCCGGCUUGGUGACCGCCCGCCGGGCCGACCCCCAGAGGCUCCCCGCUCGUCUGGCCACCCGCCGGGCCGCCCGCCAGAGUUUCCCGGGUGGUCCGACCAACGUCUCUGGUUUCCCUGCCCCCCCACCCUUUGUUUUGCUCUAGUGUGAGCCGCCUGGAAGUCGGUCCUUGAGGGGGGGGUACUGUCACGGUGUGGUUCACUUCCUGUUUUAUUUUGUAGUUUUCUGCCACUCGUGUCCCCGGGUAACUUCACUUCCUGCCUUGUCUCGUCAUCCCCUGUGUUCGUCUAAUAGUUUCCACCUGUGUUCCAAUCACCUGCACCUCCCUUGUGUAUUUAAGCCAUGUAUCUCCUGUGUCACUUGUCGCGUCAUUGUCUUUCGCCACGCAUGUCCUUGUCUUUUGUCACACAUGU
ensembl:lncRNA